rnacentral:rRNA from 1 species
AGUGGCGGACGGGUGAGUAACGCGUGAGAAUCUGCCUUGGGGUCGGGGACAACCACUGGAAACGGUGGCUAAUACCGGAUAAGCCGAUUGGUGAAAGAUUUAUUGCCCGAAGAGGAGCUCGCGUCUGAUUAGCUAGUUGGUGAGGUAAGAGCUCACCAAGGCAGCGAUCAGUAGCUGGUCUGAGAGGACGAUCAGCCACACUGGGACUGAGACACGGCCCAGACUCCUACGGGAGGCAGCAGUGGGGAAUUUUCCGCAAUGGGCGAAAGCCUGACGGAGCAAGACCGCGUGAGGGAGGAAGGCUCUUGGGUUGUAAACCUCUUUUCUCAGGGAAGAAGAUCUGACGGUACCUGAGGAAUCAGCCUCGGCUAACUCCGUGCCAGCAGCCGCGGUAAUACGGAGGAGGCAAGCGUUAUCCGGAAUUAUUGGGCGUAAAGCGUCCGCAGGUGGCGAUUCAAGUCUGCUGUCAAAGCACGGGGCUUAACUCCGUAAAGGCAGUGGAAACUGAAUAGCUAGAGUGCCGUAGGGGUAGAGGGAAUUCGGUGUAGCCGUGAAAUGCGUAGAGAUCGGGAAGAACAUCGGUGGCGAAAGCGCUCUACUGGACGGCAACUGACACUCAGGGACGAAAGCUAGGGGAGCGAAUGGGAUUAGAUACCCC